UAGGGAAUCUUCGGCAAUGGACGGAAGUCUGACCGAGCAACGCCGCGUGAGUGAUGAAGGUCUUCGGAUCGUAAAGCUCUGUUGCCAGGGAAGAAGGGCAAGGAGAGUGACUGCUCUUUGCUUGACGGUACCUGAGAAGAAAGCCCCGGCUAACUACGUGCCAGCAGCCGCGGUAAUACGUAGGGGGCGAGCGUUGUCCGGAAUUAUUGGGCGUAAAGCGCGCGCAGGCGGUUCUUUAAGUCUGGUGUAUAAGCCCGUGGCUCAACCACGGGACGCACUGGAAACUGGGGGGCUGGAGUGCAGGAGAGGAAAGUGGAAUUCCACGUGUAGCGGUGAAAUGCGUAGAGAUGUGGAGGAACACCAGUGGCGAAGGCGACUUUCUGGCCUGUAACUGACGCUGAGGCGCGAAAGCGUGGGGAGCAAACA
rnacentral:rRNA from 1 species